rnacentral:rRNA from 1 species
GGAAUCUUCGGCAAUGGGGGCAACCCUGACCGAGCAACGCCGCGUGAGUGAAGAAGAUUUUCGGAUCGUAAAGCUCUGUUGUAAGAGAAGAACGUGUGUGAGAGUGGAAAGUUCACACAGUGACGGUAACUUACCAGAAAGGGACGGCUAACUACGUGCCAA